GCGGCGCCUUCCAUAUCUGCUUAGGGUGCUAUAUUGGCCAGGCAUACAUUACUUCUCUAAGGAGGAAAAAGAAUACAAAGACCUCUAAAAUGUGCUUAAAGAAAUGUUUUACUUUAAGUAACCUUUUUUUCUCUCCAUGAUUCUCAGUGCUGAAUUUGAAGAACCACAUAAUUAUGAGGCAACAAUUUCAUAUCUGAGACACUUGGGCAACUCCAUUAACCUGUGCACUGCAGAAGAAAUUGCUAACUGGAAACUUCAAAUGGUUUUGUCUGCUUUCACUGACUAUAAAUUCCAUGCUGGAAAUCCCCGUGGAGGUUUAAACCAUGACCAGUGACCCCAGGAUUUCCCAAACCACACACAGAGCUCCCCUAGACUGGUGCUUUGAAGGUGAGGACGCUGAACUAUGCAUCUUGUAUCAAUACCGUGCUGUGCUGUGAGGAAUGGAUGGAAACUGUCUUGAAAUAAUGUUUUUGUUUAUUUCAGCAACUUAUGAUGUUGGAAUUGAAGAACUCCAAAAGCCUUGGAAGAGUUUUCUCCAUCAAGAACUUCGCCCUAAACGUGAAGAUGAAGAUAAACACAUGAAGGAAAAAGACCCAUGUGGAUUGGAACAUCAAAAUUCAGAACAGGAUCCACAUUCAAAGCAUCCUUUCAAGGUAGACGUUUAUGAGGUGACACCAGAAGACAUCCAGAUGACUACCAGCCACGGAGAUAGAUGGAGCACGGUGGCUAGACAGCAGGAAACCAUGACUGAUGAAAUAGAAGCAAAGGCCUGUCCUGAGGAUAUGGACCUGGUCAGGCCCUCCCAAGGCCAGGGUGUGGAGAGUUUGGAGCUGACGACACACACCCAGGACCUGGUGGCCUUUAAGUCAUGUUCUGGGUUGCAGGCCACAUACGACGAUGUGGAUUGCCCCGUGACAGAUAUAUCCAAGUCGGAUUUCUCCAGCUCAUUUACCUCAGACAGUGGUAAGUCUAGGAAGACGUUUCUGAAAAGCCCCUAG
rnacentral:lncRNA from 1 species